CAGGCUUACUGUCGAACAAGUGGAUAUCAUCGGCAGUUGCUAUUUCUAGACCAGUGAGCAUAAGUACAUCGGCAAGGGUAGGAGAAGCAGGGCCAUGACCGAACACGAAAGCAUUGAGUGUGUCUGACCAGAAAUACGAAGCUGCUAUCAAUAGUGAUUCGUUUCUCUCCAUAUUGGCAAUUAAUAGCCUAAUGCACUGGUCUAGUUUACGCUCACCCUAUUGGACUUCAUUUGAGUUGCCGAUUCUCAGGAACCAAUCUUUCUACCCCUUGGUAGAACUAGGCCAGGAACGAAAGGUGUCUUUCCACAGAUCUAAUGAGAAGUUCUCAGCUCUAAAGGGGAUCCUAUUUGUUUCUACAUUUAUCAAAUCGAUAGGGUCUGGAUUUCCCAGUGGACCAAGGCAUUGAAAGUGGGGUUGAUCGGUGGGAAUAACGAUUUUCUCGGCCAAUUCAUAAAGGUUUGAAGGUUGAAAGAAAAAUAAAAGAAGAAAAAUACCAAGUAAAUAACCGUGCGAAAAAUUGAAAGUACGGUACAAAGAAGAAAAGUGAUGUUGAAUUGACCUCAGGGACGACGAAGUUGAUGUCCAUUUCUUCUCGAGAGGAGGAAGAGAUUGAAGACUCGAAGAAUCAUUGGAGGAGAUCCUUGCUGGAGUUCUUGAGUUUCUCGAGCAGCGCCGCCGCCAGGAAGAUGGGUUUGAGGAUGCAGAAUGACAAGAUGGAGGAAGAGUACCGGAGAAGGAAGUAUUUAUAGGACAAAGAGGGC
rnacentral:lncRNA from 1 species